rnacentral:rRNA from 1 species
AAACUGGGAUUAGAUACCCCACUAUGCUUAGCCCUAAACUUAGAUAUUUCACAUACAAAAAUAUCCGCCAGAGAACUACGAGCAUAACGCUUAAAACUCUAAGGACUUGGCGGUACCUCAAACCCCCCUAGAGGAGCCUGUUCUAUAAUCGAUAAUCCACGAUCUACCUCACCAUCUCUUGCCAAACCAGCUUAUAUACCACCGUCACCAGCCUACCCCAUGAGGGCCACAAAAGUAAGCAAAAUAACCUAAACAAUUAAUAAGUCAGGUCAAGGUGUAGCUAACUGAGAUGGAAGAAAUGGGCUACAUUUUCUAUUCUAGAAAUAACCACGGAAGGAGACCAUGAAACAGGUCCCACAAGCAGGAUUUAGCAGUAAACUGGAAACAGCGAGCCCAAUUUAAGCCGGUCCUGAGGUGCGCACACACCGCCCGUCACCCUC